rnacentral:rRNA from 1 species
UACGAAGGGGGCUAGCGUUGUUCGGAAUCACUGGGCGUAAAGCGCACGCAGGCGGAUUGAUAAGUCAGGGGUGAAAUCCCGGGGCUCAACCUCGGAAUUGCCUUUGAUACCGUCUGUCUUGAGUUCGGGAGAGGUUGGCGGAAUUCCUAGUGUAGAGGUGAAAUUCGUAGAUAUUAGGAAGAACACCAGUGGCGAAGGCGGCUCACUGGACCACAACUGACGCUGAGGCGCGAAAGCUAGGGGAGCAAACAGG